GAGCUUGCUCCUUGGGUGACGAGCGGCGGACGGGUGAGUAAUGCCUGGGGAUCUGCCCGAUAGAGGGGGAUAACUACGGGAAACUGUAGCUAAUACCGCAUAACGUCUACGGACCAAAGUGGGGGCUCUUCGGACCUCAUGCUAUCGGAUGAACCCAGGUGGGAUUAGCUAGUUGGUGAGGUAAUGGCUCACCAAGGCGACGAUCUCUAACUGGUUUGAGAGAAUGACCAGUCACACUGGAACUGAGACACGGUCCAGACUCCUACGGGAGGCAGCAGUGGGGAAUAUUGCACAAUGGGCGCAAGCCUGAUGCAGCCAUGCCGCGUGUGUGAAGAAGGCCUUCGGGUUGUAAAGCACUUUCAGCGGGGAGGAAGGGUCACUAGUUAAUACCUAGUGGCAUUGACCUUACUCACAAAAGAAGCACCGGCUAACUCCGUGCCACCAGCCGCGGUAAUACGGAGGGUGCAAGCGUUAAUCGGAAUUACUGGGCGUAAAGCGCACGUGGGCGGUUUGUUAAGUCAGAUGUGAAAUCCUCUCAGCUCAACUUGGGAACUGCAUUUGAAACUGACAAGCUAGAGGUCUUGUA
rnacentral:rRNA from 1 species